GGAUGAACGCUGACAGAAUGCUUAACACAUGCAAGUCUUUGGCGAAGCUGUGCUUGCACAGCCUAGCCAAGGCGGACGGGUGAGUAACGCGUAAGGAACUUGCCCUGCAGUCAGGGAUAACAGACGGAAACGACUGAUAAGACCUGGUAAAGUCAGGCGGACUCAUGUCCAGCCUGAUGAAAAGAGAUGCUGCAGGAGAGCCUUGCGUCCUAUUAGCUUGUUGGUGGGGUAACGGCCCACCAAGGCGAUGAUAGGUAGCCGGCCUGAGAGGGUGGACGGCCACAAGGGGACUGAGAUACGGCCCUUACUCCUACGGGAGGCAGCAGUGGGGAAUAUUGGACAAUGGGGGCAACCCUGAUCCAGCAAUUCUGUGUGCACGAUGAAGGUUUUCGGAUUGUAAAGUGCUUUCAGCAGGGAAGAAAAAAAUGACGGUACCUGCAGAAGAAGCGACGGCUAAAUACGU
rnacentral:rRNA from 1 species